rnacentral:rRNA from 1 species
GCGCAGCAGGCGAGAAACCUUCGCAAUGCGGGAAACCGCGACGAGGGGACUCCCAGUGCCUACGCUCAGCGUAGGCUGUUCCCGAGCCUAGAAAGCUCGGGGAGUAAGGGCUGGGUAAGACGGGUGCCAGCCGCCGCGGUAAUACCCGCAGCCCGAGUGGUGGCCACUAUUAUUGGGCCUAAAGCGUCCGUAGCCGGCCCGGUAAAUGCCUGGGUAAAUCGUGAGGCCUAACCUCACGAAUUCCGGGUAGACUGCCGGGCUAGGGACUGGAGGAGGGAGAGGGUACUCCAGGGGUAGGGGUGAAAUCCUGUAAUCCCUGGAGGACCACCGGUGGCGAAGGCGCUCUCCUAGGACGGGUCCGACGGUGAGGGACGAAAGCCAGGGGAGCGAACCGGAUUAGAUACCCGUGUAGU